UCCACCCAGGGAAACGCGUGUUGCUCUAAACUCACUUUUAAAAACAAUUCUGUCUUUCUCUUAAUCCUAUUUUUAUGCUAGGCUUUAAAUCCAGAUAAUCAAUAUAAUUUAGGCCCAUCCUGCAGCACUAAUUCAACCCUACUUAUGCAAAAAAAAAAAAAAGGCAGCUAUUGACUUCAAGAACUGCAGGAUUGAAUCCUCGAUCCCAUUGAAACCAAUGACAAAACUCCUAUCGAUUUCAGUGGAAGCAGGAUUGGGUCCUUGAUGUUAGCAAUUUGUUUAUGUCAAAAGGUUGGCACUGCAAAAAAUGGAAGACAUCAGCAGAUCUGCCGGCAGGAAAUAAGGUCUGCUCCCCCAAAGUCAAAGGCAAAAUUCCCCGUUAACUGAUGAUGGAUCUCCUUUACACUCGGGAUUUAUCAGCGUGAUACAUACUGUGUGCUAACUUGCAUGGAUAUUUUGUCUGGAUGCGUAAAGCAAGUGCCUGGGAGCAUUCAGAUGAGCAUAUCUAUAAAUGUAGCACAGCAAAAUGAGCUACUUUUGUCACUCUGGGUUUUUCCUGAGCCUGGUACAAUCCAUUUUUGUGGCUAUAGUUUUCUGCCCCAUACACAUCUAAUACUGCUCUUUUAUUUCAAGGCUGAGAAAAAUCUUCCUUUUAAACUCAUGCUGAGCAUCAAAUUGGACUCCACUUGCAGCUGAACAUCUUGGCUGUCUUUCCCUUUCCUCCAUCAGCUCCAGUAUAUUUUAUGUUGAAUUCUCUGUUAAUGAAACCUGCUUCUCCUCUUUCUUCUCUUUUCAGUUUUACAUUAAUGUUACUGAAUCCACCAGGCUUGCCACCUUUGAAGAUCUCUUAAAACUGGGCAAAAGGGGGGAAAAAAUUGUUUUCUUUUCCAAUACAGCGUCCACUUUGGCCAGUCUGCGCAGACCCUAAAUACACCACCUCUAUUCAUUUUUAUUUAAAGUUUCCAUUGCUAAAUUAGAAAAAAAAAAGGUUUGAAAAGGCACACUUAAACACAUAUCUUAAUUGUUUCUGUGCAGUAUUACUCCAUUUUCCCCUUAGCAGCCGAGAGGGCUUGCUUUUCUCCUCUAGGAAUUGCGAGGUAUUAACAGCUGCUUCGACUUCAUUCCCUUUGAAAUGCCUAACAGCCACUAUAUGGGGAGACCCAGCAUCAGGGCUACACCUGAGCGCGUGAAUUUAUUCUGUGUGCCCUGAGUCAGAAUGAAGUGGCUGCCCUUUAGCAAUCAGAAUAUUUUCAUAGCUUGCUUAUAAUAUUCACAAAACAUUAGAAGUAUUCUGAGUAACUUUGUAUGAUCCAGAAGCAUUUUCCUCUGUCUGAAUGGAGGACGACACAGACGUGCAGCUGAAAAGCUACAUGCAGCUCUUUCAGAGGUGUCUAAAGGUUGGUGUCACAAGGUCUGUAUUGUGCUUGUUUUAUGAUGCAUGUCCUAGUUUACUAAUUUUCAUGAAUGGCUUUUGCCUCAGUUUAAAAAUCAGUAAAGACAUUUUGAUGCCAAAAAUCUAUUUAUCCGAAAGAAAUAAAACUUAAAAUUGCAAUAAAGAUUUUUAUCAAGCUUUCUGGUGGAAUUUAUCAUUUAUAACUUGAAUGAUCAUGUUAAGUUAUAUAAGGUAGUAUUUGCUCUGGAAUUAGCUGAAGUGGGUAAAUAGAGAAUCUAGUAAAAAUUCGUGCACCUUAUUUAUCUGAAAAGUCCACAGAAACUGAAAACUAACAUUAGUUAAGGGAGGAGAAUAGGGAGUUAUAUUAAUGUUAUAUAUCUGAGCUGUCCCAGCAAUGUCCUGUGAUAUGAACACUGCCUUUGUAUCUUUUUUAGGUCAAAAAAAUCAUUGCUUCUUUUCCCCCUUCUGCUCUGCAUUAAGUUGUUGCAACAGUAAGGAACAGUCACAAUGGCAGCAUGAAAAAAUACGGGAAUGUUGUAUGCUAGCUCUUUCUUAAAGUCAAACGUCGUUCUGCUUCUCCCUUAAUUGCAAGGGAUGAAAUGUGUCGAGUGUCUGCUUCACUCGGCUGGGAAUCGCCGUCCUGCCACUGCAAUUUCCCAGCCUUCAAAGAUGACAUGCAGCUAGCAAACUAUAAAGCCAAGCAACUGCGCUGUGACUCUGAACUUCCUUCAAAAGGCAUUUGCUUCUACUGCUGGAGCAGCGUUAGUACUUCAAGCAGGACGUGGAGUAGGUAUGCACUCGAAUCCUUUUGCAGAACCGUCUUUCAGAAAGAAUUUAUCUAAUGAUGUCUGUUUAAUCCUUCCCUAAUGGAUGCACAUGAGAUGCUACAAGUAUCUAAAAUGCAACCACCGCUUUCAGCAUUUUUCUCCUCUGCUCUCAAGACCAGCUUUGCUCGUGAAAAGCAAAAAAACUAUUGCCUGUGCCCCAGAAGCCACUUGCUCGAGGUGCCAGCACGUUCGUACACCUACUACUCAUGGUGAAAAGCAGAUGCUAUAGUGCCUCUUCUUAAAGCAAGGCCUGAGAUGUCCUGCACGACAAAACACACCGAUCACGCGCUCCCUGCAGUUACUCCUCUGGGCAAACAAGAAGCUGUGACCGCAUGAUAUUGCUGGAGGGGAUCUUUCCGUACCUGAAAUUGUCUGUUUAGUUCCCAGAAAUACUAACUAGUUUGAAAGAUACGACCCGGACACCAGUACUUAACUUGGGGUACAAAGGGGUUUAAGGGCUUUAGCAAUGGUAGAUCUUAUUUAUUUGCACAGCGCUGGAAUUAGACUGAUAGCGAGAUCUGGAGAUACAGGAUUGUCUCCCUGCAAUUUGCGCAGAGAUUUCAGCCGCUGCUUUCCCCCCGCCUCCGUUUACAGCAUUUACUAGAGCCAGUUACUGUGAAUAUAGCCCAUGUUAUUCCCUGCGGAGCGGGAGACAGGUAGGGCAGUUUCUCUCUUUAUUUCUUCUUGUCCCUUCUCCAGAUUUACACCUUACAUAGUUGUUAACGUAAGUAUUGAACUACUUAGGGACAGGCCACAUGUAGUGGAAGGUUAGCACUUUUUGGUGUUACUUUAGCCCCAGCAGGUUUAGAGUCCAUCUCCUGCAGUCUUUUUAGCAGUGAUUUUUUUUUUUAUCUGCCUGAAAUUCAGGGUUCAGCUUAAAGUUGAUUUCAGCAGCACUUGGCUCUAUCCUUUUGCAGCUGAUGACCCAAAAUAAAGCACUAGGAGCCACUAAUAAGAGGGGUGAUAUACCAUAAAGUUUCCACAGUUUUCCACACUACUCAAAUGUCCUGUUAUUAGUAAAUCUACCCUUGCAGAUUCAAAGGAAAGAUACACAUCAUGCCACAUUAUUCUGCAAGUACGGCUGGGAAUGCAAGGCUGAUUCUAUAGCUGGAUGCACACUGCUGCAGUGAAGAAUCGGGAUGCCAACACCUCCAUAUCACCAAAAUUAAACAGGUCAGUGCAGUUGACUCUAUCAAGGUCAAGUAGUGCCUUGAAUUGUAAGUGUCUGGGGCAAGGUACCACACGUGAACCCUAAUAUUUGGUCACUCCAGUGCUGCAAAACCUUCUUGGUAUAUGGAAAAAUAUGCACCACCCUGUCAACUCACUACAGCAGUUGCCAGCUGCAGAGAUUAAUUGUUAACCUCCUCUUCAUUUUCUAUGGCUAAGUCAGACAGGUAAACACCCCAUGCAUGGGCCUCAGCAGGGCAAACUGUUGUUAGACCAGCAGAGGAGAUUGAUAGUUCCUGAGGGUCUAUCCUUUCAUUUCCCCAGGGUACCCUUCCUCAGAGAGGAUUUUCCUGCUUGAGUAGGAAUUCCUUUCUGACUGCUGGCAAGGAACCCACCUGGAGUUCCUGCAAUGCCUAUUUGCAGCAAAGGUGCUACAAAACUGCAGAUACAAUCUCAGAGUAGUGCUGUUACCGGAUUUCCUAAUGGAAAAUAAAGAAUUCGGUUUUAGGCUUCCCAUGGCUUUUCUGAAACGUAACUAAACUUUACAUUCACAACUAUCUGGAACUUGACCUUGGGGUCAGAAGUACAAGCAUGAAAAGAGCACCUUUUCUGCAUACACGGGAAGGACUCGUAACCCCCAUCAUUACCUUCUCUACCACCUGCCUUUAAACAAUAGGGAGGCUUGGAGACCAUCCUCCUCCUUUUUUAGUCUGUGACAGCAGCUGGCAGGAUAGAAACAGGGCUUCCAGUCAGGUGCAUUAGCUCUUUCAUAAUUUUAAACAGAAAAAUGACUAGACAGCCUCCUGCAGUGUGAGAGGCCGCAGGGAGACCAGUGGGCAUCACUGCUUUGCUUCUGAGAGCAAACGGGCGCUCAUCAGGAGGAGCUGUGACCAAAUUUAUAAGAGAAGCAAAAGGGCCCCUUUUCUUCUCCAGACUUUUGUCCUACAACCAAAACGCGUCAGAAGGAUGUCUCUGUUUCAGUAACGUGAUGGGAGUGAGACAGCGUUAGCCUCCCGUCCCGCUGACUUCCAGAGAAAGUGUGUUUCAACUCUAAUGUGAUUAAAUUUCCUGAAUCACAGUCCUGCAAACCCAGGCUGAGAAUCUGCAAGUCAAGCACCUCUUACAUUGCCACCCAGACUGUAAGGAUGGCAACAGGAACUUAACAGAUAGUUUUAUUGAUGCUACUCAAGAAUUUUGCCUCAGCUGAGGCUGAAUAAAAGCAUAGGACCUUU